rnacentral:rRNA from 1 species
UACGUAGGUGGCAAGCGUUGUCCGGAAUUAUUGGGCGUAAAGCGCGCGCAGGCGGUCCUUUAAGUCUGAUGUGAAAGCCCACGGCUCAACCGUGGAGGGUCAUUGGAAACUGGGGGACUUGAGUGCAGAAGAGGAAAGCGGAAUUCCACGUGUAGCGGUGAAAUGCGUAGAUAUCGGGAGGAACACCAGUGGCGAAGGCGACUACCUGGCCCACUCUUGACGCUGAGGCGCGAAAGCUAGGGGAGCGAACGGG